ACAUGUCCGCGAGUCAUUGGGUGCAGAGAAACCCACAGGCGCAAUGAAAGUGAAGCCCUCGCAAGAGGGUGACGGAGGAUCCUCUCCACACGUGGGAGAGGCGCACUCCGGGGGCGUCGCGUCCGCUUCGUCGGUGCGGCGCACCGUGAGCGCACACGUUGGGACCCGAAAGAUGGUGAACUAUGCCUGGCAAGGACGAAGCCAGAGGAAACUCUGGUGGAGGUCCGCAGCGAUUCUGACGUGCAAAUCGAUCGGAGGAGCUGGGUAUAGCGGCGAAAGACCAAUCGAACCAUCUAGUAGCUGGUUCCCCCCGAAAUUUCCCUCAGGAUAGCUGGUGCUCGUUGUCUCAGCGGACGAGUCUCAUCCGGUAAAGCGAAUGAUUAGAGGCCUUGGGGCCUAAACGACCUCAACCUAUUCUCAAACUUUCAAUGGGGUGAGACGCCGGGCUUGCUUGAGUGAAGCCACGGCAAUGUCGGAUCGCUGGAGUACCCAGUGGGCCAGCGUUUGGUAAGCAGAGCUGGUGCUGUGGGAUGAACCAAACGCCGGGUUAAGGCGCCCGACUGGACGCAAAUCGGAUCCCACGAAGGGUGUCGGUUGCUCCAAACAGCAGGACGGUGGCCAUGGAAGUCGGAAU
rnacentral:rRNA from 1 species